GAUGAACGCUGGCGGCGUGCUUAACACAUGCAAGUCGAACGAUGAGGCCCAGCUUGCUGGGGGGGUUAGUGGCGAACGGGGGAGUAACACGCGAGUAACCCGCCCUUGACUCUGGGAUAAGCCUGGGAAACACGGGCUAAUACUCGAUAUGACUUCUCAUGCCACGGGGGGGGGGGGGGAGAUUUAGUGGUUUUGGAUGGACUCGCGGCUUAUCAGCUUGUUGGUGGGGUAUUGGCUCACCAAGGCGACGACGGGUAGCCGGCCUGAGAGGGUGACCGGCCACACUGGGACUGAGAUACGGCCCAGACUCCUACGGGAGGCAGCAGUGGGGAAUAUUGCACAAUGGGCGCAAGCCUGAUGCAGCGACGCCGCGUGAGGGAUGACGGCCUUCGGGUUGUAAACCGCUUUCGGUAGGGAAGAAGCGUGAGUGACGGUACCUGCAGAAGAAGCGCCGGCUAACUACGUG
rnacentral:rRNA from 1 species